UACGGAGGAUGCAAGCGUUAUCCGGAAUGAUUGGGCGUAAAGGUCCGCAGGUGGCAAUGUAAGUCUGCUGUCAAAGAAUGAGGCUCAACCUCAUCAAGGCAGUGGAAACUACGUAGCUAGAGUACGGUCGGGGUAGAAGGAAUUCCUGGUGUAGCGGUGAAAUGCGUAGAGAUCAGGAAGAACACCGGUGGCGAAAGCGUUCUGCUAGGCCUGUACUGACACUGAGGGACGAAAGCUAGGGGAGCGAAUGGG
rnacentral:rRNA from 1 species